GAUCCUGGCUCAGGAUGAACGCUGGCGGCGUGCCUAACACACGCAAGUCGAACGAAGCACUGAGAGUUUGAGAUUUCGGUCAAGAACUUUCUUUGACUUAGUGGCGGACGGGUGAGUAAUGCGUGAGCAACCUGCCUUUCAGAGGGGGACAACAGUUGGAAACGACUGCUAAUACCGCAUGAUAUAUUCGGAUGGCAUCGUCUGAAUAUCAAAGAUUUAUCGCUGAAAGAUGGG
rnacentral:rRNA from 1 species